UACGGGGGGGGCUAGCGUUGUUCGGAAUUACUGGGCGUAAAGGGCGCGUAGGCGGUCUAUUAAGUUGGAUGUGAAAACUCUGGGCUUAACCCAGAGCCUGCAUUCAAAACUGAUAGGCUGGAGUUCUGGAGGGGAUAGCGGAAUUCCUGGUGUAGCGGUGAAAUGCGUAGAUAUCGGGAGGAACACCAGUGGCGAAGGCGGCCAUCUGGAUCAACACUGACGCUGAGGCACGAAAGCGUGGGGAGCAAACAGG
rnacentral:rRNA from 1 species